AAGAAGUCCUAUGAAGGGGCGUAUAGAGAAACGAGGCCCGACAAGCUUUAGAGAUAGUCCCCCAUGUACAUCUUACUUUCUCUUACUAACCACUCAGAAUACGUCAGAAACGGCUCCGUUUCACUGCCAGGACUGUGUGGGAGUGAGAUGGGAGUAAGGGGGGAACCUGGCCAGGCCAGGCCACAAGAGUGCAAUAUUUUCCUGGCCUCCCAGAACUGGUAUUCUGAGGGCCAGCAUCCCUGAGGGAGGGCCUAAGGCUCCUCAGAGACCAAAGAGCGCCACCUGGGACCCCGGAGCUCAAAGCUGAGCUUCUGCGGAGAAACCGCCAAGUCCGAAAGAGCCCAGUAACAGCCGUAGGGUCCUGGCAGACAAUAGGCUUCCAUGCUUGGGGUAGGCUGCCUCCUAGAGAGAGGCUAAGCCUGCUUUGGGUGAUCUCGUCUGAGUGGCUAUUGUGCGAGCCCAGAAGAGCUGGAAAUUCACCUGAGUUUUCUCUUCCUGGGAGAUUUGUCUGCAGAUGAAGGGGGACAGAACAAAAGUGACUGAUACUGAAUUGAAAGCAAAGAUAAGUGAGGAGAUAAUCUUCUUCUCCUCCCUCACUUCUCUCAGAGGAAAGGAGCACCGGAGCUCAUCGUGAUGAAUCUCAGUGCCAUGUUUGGAGUGUUGAGGCUGUCUUGCUAGUGCAGUCGACAGCCAGCCUGGCAGAUGGCCAGUGCCGAGAGCUCCCUGGGAAGAAGAGUAAACAAAGACCUUGGUGGUCGGCUGUGACCCAGAAUCCUCCUUAUGCAGAGGCAGUCAGGCAGGAGGAAAAUCAGAUGGACAACUGUCAAGGGUGUAUUAGAGAAGGGAGAGGCUCUGAGGUAAGUAGACAAAGAUGGGGGACAGGUGGGAGGGAGCUCUUGGAAUAGUCCAGGCAAGAAAUGACUAAAUGAGUGGAGAGAAGCGCACAGAUGAACAAGAGAUGUUGUAGAAGUAGAAAUUAUAAGAGUUGACUACUGAAUGGAUUGUGGAGCAGGUGUGAUGCCACAAGGAUGUCACUGAUAUUAUGAUCCUGGAUUACUAGAAGACUGGAAAGCAUCCACAGAAAGAAGGAAGUUUAAAGAGAGAUGGGUAUGGGACUGAGGAGAGAGGAGAGAAGAAUAAUGAGUUUAGUUUCAAAUGUGUUGAGUUUGAGGUACCUGCAGGGGCAUCCAGUUCAAAGGGUCCAGUACAUAGUUGUUGAUAUUGUAGAGAUAGUGGAACUAGAGCUGAGGAGAGGGACCAGAACUGGAAAUAGAGAUCUGGGAGUCAUCAGCACAGAAAUGACCAUUAAAUCCAUGUGAGGAGAGGUCACCAAGACAGAGAAGAGAGCCCAGGGCAGAACUUUAGAAUGCACACAUAGGGAGGAGCAUGUUGAGGUUGAUAAUCCAAUGGAGGAGACAGAAGAGGGUUAGAUGAGUAGGAGGAGAACCACAGAAGAGAUGUACUUCUAAGACCCUAUUCUCAAGUAUAUUAUGUUCUACUGGAGGUUACAACAUGUGCACAGAUAAGAAUACACAAAAUAAUUUGAGUAAAUAAAGAAACCCAACAGCCAGGGCAUUGAUGGAGGAUGUCUUCCCUUCUAUAAUCUGAUCCAUCCACUUGUCACUAGAGAAAUUUCUACUCUGGGGCUCCUAUGUCCUAAUUGAUGUCCCUUUUUCUAGACUAACAUUUCAUGAAAGCUUUAUCCACUAUGGUUUAUUUCACUUCCCUCUCUCCAAACAUUUCUUCCAUAGCCUUAAAACAAUACCUUACAACAUUUUCUCCUCCCCCUCCUCUAGUUUUGGAAGCAUGAACCAUAAUAGAUUCAAUAAAAAAAAAACCACCCUUACCUUCUGUCUUAGAAUCAAUACUGUGUAUUGGUUCCAAGGUAGAAGAGUAAUAAGGGCUAGGCAGUGAGAGUUAGUUAAGUGACUUGCCCAGGGUCACACAGCUAGGACAUGUCUGAGGUCAGAUUUUAACUAGGACCUCCUAUCUCUAGGUCUGGCUCUCAAUCCACUGAGCCACCCAGCUGCCCCACUAAUUGAUUCAAUUCUGCUAUAGUUCCUGGAUAAAAUUUGUUAAGUCUACUACCUGGGGCCACACUCACCAUUUCUGUAACUUUGUAGACCAAAGUGCUCCCCCUAGUGGCCUCCACUAAAAAAGCAACUCUCCCUGGCCACCUCUCCCCUAUGCUUAUAGCCUCUCCUUAUAGAAUAUAAGUUUCUUAAAGGCAAGGAUGGCUUUUGUUUUUGUAUUGGCACCUCCAUGGCAAA